GGCUGUUCUAGCAGUUGAGGUGUGGGAGAAGGGACUGUUCUGGUAGAGAAGGGUGGGGAGAAGGGACUGUUCUAAGCAGAUGAUGUGUGUGGGAGAAGGGACUGUUCUGGGCAGAGGAGGUGUGGGAGAAGGGACUGUUCUAGCAGAUGAGGUGUGGGAGAAGGGACUGUUCUGGCAGAGGAGGGGUGGGAGAAGGGACUGUUCUAGUAGAUGAGGUGUGGGAGAAGGGACGGUUCUGGCAGAUGAGUGUGGGAGAAGGGACUGUUCUGGCAGAUGAGGUGUGGGAGAAUGGACUGUUCAAUGCAGAUGAAGUGUGGGAGAAAGGACUGUUCUGGCAGAG
rnacentral:lncRNA from 1 species